rnacentral:rRNA from 1 species
GAUGAACGCUAGCGGCAGGCCUAAUACAUGCAAGUCGAACGGUAAGGCCCUUUCGGGGGUACACGAGUGGCGGACGGGUGCGUAACGCGUAUGCAACAUGCCUUCCAGCGGGGGAUAUACCAGGGAAACUUGGCGCAAUACCCCAUAGAAUUACGGGACCGCAUGGUCUUGUGAUUAAAACUCCGGUGCUGGGAGAUUGGCAUGCGUGACAUUAGCUAGUUGGUGAGGUAACGGCUCACCAAGGCCACGAUGUCUAGGGGAUCUGAGAGGAUUAACCCCCACACUGGUACUGAGACAGGGACCAGACUCCUACGGGAGGCAGCAGUAAGGAAUAUUGGACAAUGGUGGCAACACUGAUCCAGCCAUGCCGCGUGAAGGAUGAAGGCCCUAUGGGUUGUAAACUUCUUUUGUACGGGAAAAACCUUCUUACGUGUAAGAAGCUGAUUGUACUGUAAGAAUAAGGAUCGGCUAACUCCGUGCCAGCAGCCGCGGU